rnacentral:rRNA from 1 species
UUUGAACGCUGGCGGCAUGCCUUACACAUGCAAGUCGAACGGUAACGGGCCUUCGGGUGCCGACGAGUGGCGAACGGGUGAGUAAUACAUCGGAACGUGCCCGAUCGUGGGGGAUAACGAGGCGAAAGCUUUGCUAAUACCGCAUACGAUCCACGGAUGAAAGCAGGGGACCGCAAGGCCUUGCGCGGACGGAGCGGCCGAUGGCAGAUUAGGUAGUUGGUGGGAUAAAAGCUUACCAAGCCGACGAUCUGUAGCUGGUCUGAGAGGAUGAUCAGCCACACUGGGACUGAGACACGGCCCAGACUCCUACGGGAGGCAGCAGUGGGGAAUUUUGGACAAUGGGCGCAAGCCUGAUCCAGCCAUGCCGCGUGCAGGAUGAAGGCCUUCGGGUUGUAAACUGCUUUUGUACGGAACGAAAAGCCUUCUUUUAAUACAGGAGGGUCAUGACGGUACCGUAAGAAUAAGCACCGGCUAACUACGUG